AUGAACGCUAGCUACAGGCUUAACACAUGCAAGUCGAGGGGCAGCAUGGUCUUAGCUUGCUAAGGCCGAUGGCGACCGGCGCACGGGUGAGUAACACGUAUCCAACCUGCCGUCUACUCUUGGACAGCCUUCUGAAAGGAAGAUUAAUACAAGAUGGCAUCAUGAGUCCGCAUGUUCACAUGAUUAAAGGUAUUCCGGUAGACGAUGGGGAUGCGUUCCAUUAGAUAGUAGGCGGGGUAACGGCCCACCUAGUCUUCGAUGGAUAGGGGUUCUGAGAGGAAGGUCCCCCACAUUGGAACUGAGACACGGUCCAAACUCCUACGGGAGGCAGCAGUGAGGAAUAUUGGUCAAUGGGCGAGAGCCUGAACCAGCCAAGUAGCGUGAAGGAUGACUGCCCUAUGGGUUGUAAACUUCUUUUAUAAAGGAAUAAAGUCGGGUAUGGAUACCCGUUUGCAUGUACUUUAUGAAUAAGGAUCGGCUAACUCCGUGCCAGCAGCCGCGGUAAUACGGAGGAUCCGAGCGUUAUCCGGAUUUAUUGGGUUUAAAGGGAGCGUAGAUGGAUGUUUAAGUCAGUUGUGAAAGUUUGCGGCUCAACCGUAAAAUUGCAGUUGAUACUGGAUAUCUUGAGUGCAGUUGAGGCAGGCGGAAUUCGUGGUGUAGCGGUGAAAUGCUUAGAUAUCACGAAGAACUCCGAUUGCGAAGGCAGCCUGCUAAGCUGCAACUGACAUUGAGGCUCGAAAGUGUGGGUAUCAAACAGGAUUAGAUACCCUGGUAGUCCACACGGUAAACGAUGAAUACUCGCUGUUUGCGAUAUACUGCAAGCGGCCAAGCGAAAGCGUUAAGUAUUCCACCUGGGGAGUACGCCGGCAACGGUGAAACUCAAAGGAAUUGACGGGGGCCCGCACAAGCGGAGGAACAUGUGGUUUAAUUCGAUGAUACGCGAGGAACCUUACCCGGGCUCAAACGCACGACGGCGGCACGUGAAAGCGUGCUUACCUACGGGACGUUGUGCGAGGUGCUGCAUGGUUGUCGUCAGCUCGUGCCGUGAGGUGUCGGCUUAAGUGCCAUAACGAGCGCAACCCUUGUUGUCAGUUACUAACAGGUUCCGCUGAGGACUCUGACAAGACUGCCAUCGUAAGAUGUGAGGAAGGUGGGGAUGACGUCAAAUCAGCACGGCCCUUACGUCCGGGGCUACACACGUGUUACAAUGGGGGGUACAGAGGGCCGCUACCACGCGAGUGGAUGCCAAUCCCCAAAACCUCUCUCAGUUCGGACUGGAGUCUGCAACCCGACUCCACGAAGCUGGAUUCGCUAGUAAUCGCGCAUCAGCCACGGCGCGGUGAAUACGUUCCCGGGCCUUGUACACACCGCCCGUCAAGCCAUGGGAGCCGGGGGUACCUGAAGUGCGUAACCGCGAGGAGCGCCCUAGGGUAAAACUGGUGACUGGGGCU
rnacentral:rRNA from 1 species